UGGUGUGGACUUAUGUUGGACCGACUCUCUCUCUACCCAAAAUAUCUAGCUAAAGUUUUUCUCUUCGGGAAAGCUCGAAGCUGCUCAGAUCUACUUGGAUCUUCAGGGAUCUAAAUACAUCUGAGCAGUACUAAUACAAAUCUUAUAGCUUUAUUGGUUUUUGAUAUUUUCAGUAGAUUAGAAUUUCUUCUUAUUUCAUCUCAAACUCUUAAAUUCAUCAUGUCUAACCCGCUCAAUCUCGGCUAAACUCCUGGUUAGCCGGCCUAAUUAACCUUGAUUAAUGCUUCAAUCAAUAGAUCUAUUCCAAGGGAUUUCAUCUUCCUUUGCGUUUUUGUGUUGUGGUAUGGAGGUAGAUAUGAAGAUCUGAAUCAUGGAGGCUAUUCUUCUUGUAUACCUAUUUGUUGUUGCGUUUUCGGGAUUCAAUACUAAUCUUGUUUCUGAGUUGAUUACAUCCUUAUCAUUUUUACUGUUGGUACAGAAAUCACUUCCAUUCGUUACAAUAAGAGAUUAGAUUCUACUUAAAGACUCAGUCAAAGCUAAAGUCUCAGAAGUUAUGGAUCAAGCCGUAAAGCAAAGGAGCAAACAUAUAUCACUCGGACAGCUCAUCGCAACAUCAAGGUACAAAGUCAUGACUAACAACCUCGAUUAACUGCAUCGGACGCCACUACCUCCAUCUGAUUCCUGUGGACAUUGCAGUGUCGAUAAAAAACAUUGCUUUUCUUGUGGAAAGCAUUGAUCGAAGGCCUUUCGACCUUCGAAACCAACAUCCGCCACCGAUGUAACUUUGAACCGAAGAAAGCUAUUCUGCUCCAGUAUCAUGUUAUUGUGGAUUCAUGGCUUACCAAUCUAAUUGUAAUUGAUGAAUCCUGGGGUAUUAUAUACCCUCAUGUAAUAUCCCUUUAGUAAUUUAAUAAAUUCUAUGCUUUUUUUGUUUUUGA